CCACACCUAAAAACUUUCCACGUGAACCGUUAUAACUAUGUUCUGUGCYUCGUCGMAAGACUUGAGGCUGAACGAAGGUGAGUCUGYGUCUAUUUUGGAUGCGGAUUUGCUGAUGUUAUUUUAAACACCUAUUACUUAAUACUGAACUAUACUCCGAAUACGAAAGUUUUUGGUUUUAACAAUUAACAACUUUCAGCAGUGGAUGUCUAGGCUCGCACAUCGAUGAAGAACGCUGCGAACUGCGAUACGUAAUGCGAAUUGCAGAAUUCAGUGAGUCAUCGAAAUUUUGAACGCAUAUUGCACUUUCGGGUUAUGCCUGGAAGUAUGCCUGUAUCAGUGUCCGUACAUCAAACUUGCCUUUCUUUUUUUGUGUAGUCAAAAUUAGAGAUGGCAGAAUGUGAGGUGUCUCGCGCUGUCUUUUUAAAGAUGGUUCGAGUCCCUUUAAAUGUACGUUGAUUCUUUCUUGUGUCUGCGAAUUGCGAYGCUAUGCUCUUUGUGAUCGGUUUAGAUUGCUUUGCGCUGGUGGGCGACUUCGGUUAGGACAUAUGGAAGCAACCUCAAUUGGCGGUAUGUUCGGCUUUGCCUGACGUUAAGCUAAGCGAGUGURGUUUUCUGUYYUUUCCUUGAGGUGUACCUGUCGUGUGUGAGGUYGRUUURRGCUAUAUGGUUGCUURGUUGUGUGGUYUAGCGUUUUCAGACGCCUGCUUCGGUAGGUAAAGGAGACAACACCRAUUUGGGACUGAGAGUUUACUCUCUUUUUCACUUUGGACCUGAUAUCAGGUAAGACUACCCGCUGAACUUAAG
rnacentral:rRNA from 1 species